rnacentral:ncRNA from 1 species
UUAAUGGAGAGUUUGAUCCUGGCUCAGGACGAACGCUGGCGGCGUGCCUAAUACAUGCAAGUCGAGCGGAUUUAGUCGGGAGCUUGCUCCUGACUGAGUUAGCGGCGGACGGGUGAGUAACACGUAGGUAACCUGCCCGUAAGACCGGGAUAACAUUCGGAAACGGAUGCUAAUAGCGGAUACGCAAUACCCUCGCAUGGGGGAAUUGGGAAAGGCGGAGCAAUCUGCCGCUUACGGAUGGACCUGCGGCGCAUUAGC